rnacentral:lncRNA from 1 species
AUCUAUUACAGCCAAUGAUUAGGUAUGCCUAAUCAUUAGUAUAUAAAACAACAUUAAAUCUAAAGACUAAAAUGAUUUCUAAAGAAAUUUGAGCAAUGAUUGUAUAUGUACAGUUUAAGAAUCAGUACUCUUGAUUAGUAAACUACUGAGAGUGGCUCUCAGAAGAGUCCAGAAUGCCCCCACAACUGCGUCAGGAAGGGGGAAGAAAUGUUAUGGCGAGCUUGCAUUAAUAUCUAAAUUUAGAUUGAAACAAAGACAAAGAAAGAGCUUAAUUAAGAUUAACUACUGCUUACCAUUCUAUACAAUAUCUAUAUGUUUUUGGAGGAGGAUGAGAAGGUGAUGGCUGUUGGGGCACCUGUCCAUUAUUGACAGGGGAACUUACUGGAGGGGGAGCAACACAAGGACAUUGUUGAUGAUAUUCUUGCAUUAGCGGUGGAGAUGGUGGAUUAUAUAAACCAGGUUGUGGCGGCGGCGGCAAUGGAUAUAAUACUGCAAAACCAAUAGCAGCCCACACAUCAAUCGAAGUUCAUAGUGAAAGAAAGACACAUAUAUACAUAAAAUACAGUGUACUUGAAUAACUUGGACUUCAGAGAAUUAUUUGCUAUAGCUGCGUUAUUAAUUUAAAUAUUAUGCAUGACCACAUAC